rnacentral:rRNA from 1 species
GAUGAACGCUGGCGGCGUGCCUAAUACAUGCAAGUCGAGCGAACGGACGAGAAGCUUGCUUCUCUGAUGUUAGCGGCGGACGGGUGAGUAACACGUGGAUAACCUACCUAUAAGACUGGGAUAACUUCGGGAAACCGGAGCUAAUACCGGAUAAUAUUUUGAACCGCAUGGUUCAAAAGUGAAAGACGGUCUUGCUGUCACUUAUAGAUGGAUCCGCGCUGCAUUAGCUAGUUGGUAAGGUAACGGCUUACCAAGGCAACGAUGCAUAGCCGACCUGAGAGGGUGAUUGGCCACACUGGAACUGAGACACGGUCCAGACUCCUACGGGAGGCAGCAGUAGGGAAUCUUCCGCAAUGGGCGAAAGCCUGACGGAGCAACGCCGCGUGAGUGAUGAAGGUCUUCGGAUCGUAAAACUCUGUUAUUAGGGAAGAACAUAUGUGUAAGUAACUGUGCACAUCCUGACGGUACCUAAUCAGAAAGCCACGGCUAACUACGUG